CUGUGUAAUUCCUUUAUUUUCUGCAUAUUAGUGCUUUACCAACACUACAACCAUAAAGAACACAAUUCCAAGUACUGUACUUUUUAGUUUGGGGAGAUCACAGUCUACAGACUCAUUUACUUAUAUUAAACAAGAUUAACCUCAUUCAAAACUUACUGCAGUUUAUAAAUUCACAUAAAUACAGAAAUGGAUGCAAUUAAACAACUUCAGGAUCUUAUUUUUAAAAUUCUUAGAUAAUUUUUUCUGCAGGCUAUAAUUACCUGCUCCAGUCACCAAUGGUUAUUGUUCAAUUUAACUACAUCAAUUAUAAACCUCUUAUAUCCUUAAAGAAAAUUUUAAGUGAAAAUUACAAUUUCUUACCAAAAGGUUUAGGGUUUUCCAAAUUUCAAAUAUUUGCUUCCCCCUCCCCCCUUUCCAGUCAAACAUUUCAAAUAAACUAAAAAUAACCACAUCUCACCUGCAACAUUCAAUAAUAGCAAUCACUUGAUGUAUAAAAUUUUAACUAUGCCCCCAGUUAUUUUAAGACACAAAAAAAUGGCUGCCUACCAAUCUGUCUUCACAAGUUAGAAAUACUACAUUUAAGAUUUAACAUGAGGGUUUCAAGUUUCCUCCAGUUUAGGCAUUUAUACCUUUGUGCUUGUUUUGUUUCAGGAUGUUACUAUAGCAUUGAUAUUGGAUAACCCAUAUUUAUAUACUUUAAAAUGCAAUCAUUUGAAACACUAAAAAUUACAUUUAUGGUGGAGCUUUGGAAAUUUUAGAAAGCAACCAGUGUUCUUAGAUGUGUUUAUCAGCCUCAUUUCUAGAGCUCUUUCUACUAAAGUGAAACUGAGAACUUCGUACUUUAGUUGUAUCCUGAAAUCAAAAAAAUCCCUCUGCACCAACAGGAGCCUACAUGAGAAUACCCUUUUGCAUCUGCUUUAAGUAAAAUGUUUGUUAAGAGUUUUACUUUGAAUAGUUCAUUUUUUUAUAGUCUUACACUUCUCAUACAUCUUUGGUAAAAGCUCCAUUAUACAAUAUGGCCAAAGUGUGAAGGACCAAUACUGUCCAACUAUACCAUGAUAUCCCGCUCAAUUUUAGUUUUCAGACACCCUCAUAAACAAAACCCACUCCACCUUUUCCUGUAUACUGCCUUUGCAGUCUACAUUUCUGAAAUUCCCUAUUUAAUUCCUUGAGGAUCACUAAAAUUAAUCCUUAAGGCUAUAUAGGAACCAGAUGCUGCUUUACAAGCAAAGUGGCUAACUUUGCAGUGGAAAGAAAAAGUGUCCUUCAUGGGUUACACUUUCAUAUUUUUAUGCAGCAUUAAGUUAUCUACGUUAUGGGGAACUUGGGUUUUAUUCCUACUCAUGCAUGAUGUGUUUCAGAACUUACUUGCUGACAUUUCAGAGAACUUCUUACAUUACCUGUUUAACAUACUGAGGUGCAACUGGAACAUAUUACAAUAUUACUCAUUAUUUGCCACUGUGGGCUAAGUUUACUAUACUGGUCUUAGAUAUAAAAGGUCACAUUUGAAAUUACUAAGUUAGAACUCAUAAGGAAGGGGGGGGAAGGCCUUAAAUAUAAAAGACAAACGGCAGUUUGAUUAAGCAAUAAUUUUCAGUUUACUAGAUGAAACAGACUUGCAACAUAGUCUGCAUGAAUGCAAAAUAAG
rnacentral:lncRNA from 1 species